rnacentral:rRNA from 1 species
CAGCCGCCACGGGAAAACGGAGGGGGCUAGCGUUGUUCGGAAUUACUGGGCGUAAAGCGCACGUAGGCGGCUUGGUAAGUUAGAGGUGAAAGCCCGGAGCUCAACUCCGGAAUUGCCUUUAAGACUGCCGAGCUAGCAGGUGAGAGAGGUAAGUGGAAUUCCGAGUGUAGAGGUGAAAUUCGUAGAUAUUCGGAAGAACACCAGUGGCGAAGGCGGCUUACUGGCUCAUACUGGACGCUGAGGUGCGAAAGCGUGGGGAGCAAACAGGAUUAGAGACCCCAGUAGUCCCUGUCUCUUAUAC